UGCGGGAGUGGUGGAAUUGGUAGACACGCUGGAUUUAGGUUCCAGUGCUUGGGUUUUGAUCCCGCCAUUCGUAGGUUCGAGUCCUGCUACCCCAGCCA
rnacentral:tRNA from 1 species